GCCGACGUAGCUCAGCUGGUCAGAGCAGCUGAUUUGUAAUCAGCAGGUCGUGGGUUCGAAUCCCUCCAUCGGCUCCA
rnacentral:tRNA from 1 species